rfam:Gossypium arboreum cultivar AKA8401 contig_76901_1, whole genome shotgun sequence.
AACCCAUGGUGAGGGGAUCUUCUUAAAAGGUCUUUGUAUCUCUCCCAUGUGUCAUAGAGUGUUUCUAAAUCCAUCUGCACAAAAGAAGAGAUAUCAUUACUAAUUUGGCU